CUUCUUCAGUUCAGUUACCUUCGGCGCGAUCUUAAAGGUGUUACGUAUUUGUGAAACUUCGAUAAUGCAGGAUUAUCCCGUUGUAGCACACGACAGAGGAGAAUAAGUAUUAGUGGACAACGAUCUCUGCAAUCAUUGCAUCACGACGUCUGCAUCAAAGAGAGAGAGAGAGAGAACACGACGAUGCUUUAAUGGCCGAGAAGAAGAAAAAAGUUAAAAGGCCUCCUAUAGGAAACCGGUGGCGGAGAGGCAGUUAUCGGGUAGUGCCAUAACAGCCAUCUGCGUCAACAUUGGACUGUCAUUAUCCGGUGGGUGCAGAGGCGUCGGCACAAUGACCUAGUUAAUGGGUCGUACCAUUACACUGAAGCGCAUCCCAUCACGAAACAUGCCCCUAACAGGUAAGAGCGGCUGGUUUUUCUUCUUUUGCUAUUUUUAGACAAGUGGGGUUAAUCGCUAAAUAGGGCUCACGGGUUGUGCAUCAUGGUGAGUGGAUUCCACAGACAGGAAUAUUUUCGAAGCAGUGUAAUAGGACUCAGAUAAUGUUUGUAUAUCAUGAACUAUAUUAUAUUAAUUAUAUGAUCCGCUCUCCAGCUUACUCAGGCCACGUGCUAAAAUAUACCGUCAUAUAGAGCGUUGUUUUACCAACGAAAAUUGAA